rnacentral:rRNA from 1 species
AGUGAACGCUGGCGGUAGGCCUAACACAUGCAAGUCGAACGGCAGCACAGUAAGAGCUUGCUCUUACGGGUGGCGAGUGGCGGACGGGUGAGGAAUACAUCGGAAUCUACUUUUUCGUGGGGGAUAACGUAGGGAAACUUACGCUAAUACCGCAUACGACCUACGGGUGAAGGCAGGGGAUCUUCGGGCCUUGCGCGAUUGAAUGAGCCGAUGUCGGAGUAGCUAGUUGGCGGGGUAAAGGCCCAGCAAGGCGACGAUCCGUAGCCGGUCUGGGAGGAUGGUCAGCCACAUUGGAACUGGGACAGCGUCCAGACUCCUACGGGAGGCAGCAGUGGCGAAUGUGGGGCAGUGGGCGCAAGCCUGAUCCAGCCAUACCGCGUGUGUGAAGAAGGCCUUCGGGUUGUAAAGCCCUUUUGUUGGUAGAGAAAAGCAGCAGGUUAAUACCCCGCUGUUCUGACGGUACCCAGAGAAUAAGCACCGGCUAACUUCGUG